GACGAACGCUGGCGGCGUGCUUAACACAUGCAAGUCGAACGGAAAGGCCCUGCUUUUGUGGGGUGCUCGAGUGGCGAACGGGUGAGUAACUCGUGAGUAACCUGCCCUUGACUUUGGGAUAACUUCAGGAAACUGGGGCUAAUACCGGAUAGGAGCUCCUGCUGCAUGGUGGGGGUUGGAAAGUUUCGGCGGUUGGGGAUGGACUCGCGGCUUAUCAGCUUGUUGGUGGGGUAGUGGCUUACCAAGGCUUUGACGGGUAGCCGGCCUGAGAGGGUGACCGGCCACAUUGGGACUGAGAUACGGCCCAGACUCCUACGGGAGGCAGCAGUGGGGAAUAUUGCACAAUGGGCGGAAGCCUGAUGCAGCAACGCCGCGUGCGGGAUGACGGCCUUCGGGUUGUAAACCGCUUUCGCCUGUGACGAAGCGUGAGUGACGGUAAUGGGUAAAGAAGCACCGGCUAACUACGUA
rnacentral:rRNA from 1 species